ACUCCUACGGGAGGCAGCAGUGGGGAAUAUUGGACAAUGGGCGAAAGCCUGAUCCAGCAAUACCGCGUGUGUGAAGAAGGCCUGAGGGUUGUAAAGCACUUUCAAUUGGGAGGAAAACAGGCGAGGAUAAUAUCUCGUCUCUUGACAUUACCUUUAGAAGAAGCACCGGCUAACUCCGUGCCAGCAGCCGCGGUAAUACGGAGGGUGCAAGCGUUAAUCGGAAUUACUGGGCGUAAAGCGUGCGUAGGCGGUUAAUUAAGUCAGAUGUGAAAGCCCCGGGCUUAACCUGGGAACUGCAUUUGAAACUGGUUAGCUAGAGUAUGGUAGAGGAAAGUAGAAUUUCUGGUGUAGCGGUGAAAUGCGUAGAUAUCAGAAAGAAUACCAAUGGCGAAGGCAACUUUCUGGACCAAUACUGACGCUGAGGUACGAAAGCGUGGGGAGCAAACAGGAUUAGAUACCCCAGUAGUCC
rnacentral:rRNA from 1 species